rnacentral:rRNA from 1 species
CAGCAGCCACGGGAAUACGUAGGGUGCAAGCGUUAAUCGGAAUUACUGGGCGUAAAGCGCACGUAGGCGGCUUGGUAAGUUAGAGGUGAAAGCCUGGAGCUCAACUCCAGAAUUGCCUUUAAGACUGCCGAGCUAGCAGGUGAGAGAGGUAGGUGGAAUUCCGAGUGUAGAGGUGAAAUUCGUAGAUAUUCGGAAGAACACCAGUGGCGAAGGCGGCUUACUGGCUCAUACUGGACGCUGAGGUGCGAAAGCGUGGGGAGCAAACAGGAUUAGAUACCCCCGUAGUCCCUGUCUCUUAUAU